GCAGUCGAGCGGACAGAUGGGAGCUUGCUCCCUGAUGUUAGCGGCGGACGGGUGAGUAACACGUGGGUAACCUGCCUGUAAGACUGGGAUAACUCCGGGAAACCGGGGCUAAUACCGGAUGCUUGUUUGAACCGCAUGGUUCAAAUAUAAAAGGUGGCUUUUAGCUACCACUUACAGAUGGACCCGCGGCGCAUUAUCUAGUUGGUGAGGUAACGGCUCACCA
rnacentral:rRNA from 1 species